AUUGAACGCUGGCGGCAGGCUUAACACAUGCAAGUCGAACGAAGUGGCGAACGGGUGAGUAACGCGUAAUCAACCUGCCCUUCAGAGGGGAAAAACAGUUGGAAACGACUGCUAAUACCGAAUAGUGAAGGAGGGGAUUGCGUCGGAUUGGCUAGUUGGGGGGGUAACGGCGCACCGAGGCGAGGAUCAGUCGCCGGGGUUGGAGGAGUAACCGCCAAAGUGGGAAUGAGGAACGGCCCAGGCUUCUAAGGGGAGGCGCAGGUGGGAAUUAUUCGAAAUGGAGCAAAGGCUGAAUGCGGAAAGGCGGGGGAGAUAUGACGGGCUUUGGGUUUGAAAGCUACGUUCAUCGGGACGCGGUACCCGAAGAGAAAGCAACGGCUAACUACGUGCCAGCCGCCGCGGUAAUAC
rnacentral:rRNA from 1 species